UACGUAGGGGGGCAAGCGUUUGUCCGGAAUCAUUGGGCGUAAAGAGCGCGUAGGCGGUCCGGUAAGUCCGCUCUGAAAGCCCGGGGCUCAACCCCGGGAGGCGGGCGGAUACUGUCGGGCUAGAGUCCGGAAGAGGCGAGUGGAAUUCCUGGUGUAGCGGUGAAAUGCGCAGAUAUCAGGAGGAACACCGAUGGCGAAGGCGGGUCUCUGGGCCGAUAUUGACGCUGAGGAGCGAAAGCGUGGGGAGCAAACAGG
rnacentral:rRNA from 1 species